CCGACGGGAGAAGUGUUGUUAAGGAACUCGGCAAAAUGACCCCGUAACUUAGGGAGAAGGGGAGCCACGCAAGUGGCCGCAGAAAAGAGGCUCAAGCGACUGUUUAGCAAAAACACAGGUCUCUGCGAAACCGAAAGGUGAAGUAUAGGGGCUGACACCUGCCCGGUGCUGGAAGGUUAAAAGGAGAGGUUCGACGUAAGUCAAAGCUUUGAAUUCAAGCCCCAGUAAACGGCGGCCGUAACUAUAACGGUCCUAAGGUAGCGAAAUUCCUUGUCAGGUAAGUUCUGACCCGCACGAAAGGUGUAACGAUUUGAGCACUGUCUCGACAACACGCCCGGUGAAAUUGAAGAACCAGUGAAGAUACUGGUUACCCGCAACAGGACGGAAAGACCCCAUGGAGCUUUACUGCAGCCUGAUACUGGGAUUCGAUGAUGUAUGUACAGGAUAGGAGGGAGACUGCGAAGGUAGGACGCCAGUCUUGCCGGAGUCGCCGGUGGGAUACCUCUCUUACAUCAUUGGAUUUCUAACCUGCAUCCGUGAACCGGAUGAGGGACAAUGUCAGGCGGGCAGUUUGACUGGGGCGGUCGCCUCCAAAAGAGUAACGGAGGCGCUCAAAGGUCUUCUCAGAAUGAUUGGAAACCAUUCAAAGAGUGUAAAGGCAAAAGAAGGCUUGACUGCGAGGUCGACGGACCGAGCAGGUACGAAAGUAGGACUUAGUGAUCCGGUGGUAAUACGUGGGAAUGCCAUCGCUCAACGGAUAAAAGCUACCCUGGGGAUAACAGGCUGAUCUCCCCCAAGAGUUCACAUCGACGGGGAGGUUUGGCACCUCGAUGUCGGCUCAUCGCAUCCUGGGGCUGAAGUAGGUCCCAAGGGUUGGGCUGUUCGCCCAUUAAAGCGGUACGCGAGCUGGGUUCAGAACGUCGUGAGACAGUUCGGUCCCUAUCCGUUGUGGGCGUAGGAAAUUUGAGAGGAGCUGUCCUUAGUACGAGAGGACCGGGAUGGACGAACCGCUGGUGUAUCUGUUGCAUACCAAAUGCACGGCAGAGUAGCUAAGUUCGGAACGGAUAAACGCUGAAGGCAUCUAAGCGUGAAGCCGCCCUCAAGACGAGAUUUCCCAUUCGAAAGAAGUAAGACCCCUUGAAGACUACGAGGUAGAUAGGUCAGAGGUGUAAGUGCGGUAACGUAUUGAGCUUACUGAUACUAAUAGGUCGAGGGCUUGACCGA
rnacentral:rRNA from 1 species